UAGCAUGAGGAACUGCAAGGCUGGCACUUCAGCGUCUGGGUUAAAAAUAUUUUAAAGCAGUAAAUGCAGUCAGUACAGAGAGAUCCCUGGGAGCCUUUCUAUUCAAAAAUGUGUGAGCUCAGGGCAGCGACUGCAAUGUAAUUUAGGGCAGUGUAUGCUUCAUAGCUUUGAGAAUAUUGCUUCCCGUUAAUGUUCCAUCGGAGGAUGGUAGGAUAGUAGUAAUUUUAGAAGGUGGUAUUCCUGUUUGUCUUACAUCGAAAACUUCAGAAUAAAUAAAAAGAAACCUCAAUCGAACAAGAAAUGUAACUGUGGAAAAGUACCAAUGAAUCUAAAUUUGAACUGAACAGAUUCAAAGCCAGCAUGAGUGUAGGAAUAUUUUUAAGGAGGAAGCUAUGACAAAAACAACUAUCCAGAGAGUGGACUGCACAGGUAUGUACCAUGUGGGCACAGAACUUGCAGAAACUUCCAAGAAAAUGCCUGGUCAGGAGUGCGGUGCUUUAACUGUGACUAGAUGAAAUGUUACUGAAUAUUUAAAUUGAAUUAUUUUAGAAGAUGGAAACACAAGAGAUUUAAUUUCAGUUGCUGGCAUUCAGAUGAUGUCUAGCUAUUCUGAGUAAGCCAAGUCAUUAGCUAGUCACAAUUCUGUGAAUUAGAUAGCGUUGGGAUCUUAGCUCACCCUCCGAAUGAUGAGCGGGUCUAGGACUUCUGAUGCUAAGAUGUUAUGCCUUAGCUUAUGGGAUUCUGUAGGAUUUUUCUCAGUCUGAAGAUCCUGUUGCUGAUAAGAAUGAGACCUAAUCAAGAUUCUUGGAUAUUAUAAAAGAGCCUGUCCAUUUAUGAGUUGUGUCUAGGAAACAAGUGAAGAACAUUUACACUUCCUUCAAAUUUUAGGGACUCAGCUACUAACUCUGAGCAGCUAUGAAAUUUGGCGAGUACCCAAUAGCUCACUAAACUCUCUAGGAGUUCUUAUGGUAUUAGCUAUUCUAUUUUUUCAUGUUAUAAAUUGCAGAAUAAUUUAUUGCUCUUCAUUAUCAACCUGUGAUGCUUACCC
rnacentral:lncRNA from 1 species